CACCGCGGUUAUACGAGAGACCCGUGUAGACAGACAUCGGCGUAAAGCGUGGUUAAUAAAACUAUAACACUAAAGUCGAACACCUUCAAAGCUGUUAUACGCACCCGAAAGCAGGAAGCCCUAGAACGAAAGUGACUUUAAACCUUAUGAGCCCACGAAAGCUAGAAAA
rnacentral:rRNA from 1 species